AAAUCAAUGAACAACAGGAACCUGGAGGACAAGGCGGCGCAGAAGGUUGGGUCACUGCUCACUACAACAACAACUGCGUCUGGAAAAUUUUAAUCUACUGUACAAACCAGGCAGCUGAAAGGAAAGGAGGGCCAGUUGGAAAAUACUGUAGGUAUACAACUGAAGUCAUCUAACCCAUUCCCAGCUAUGAAGAAAGAAUCAAAGAAGGCUUCUAGAGUAACAUUUACCACUACACAGAAGCAGAAGAGUCGAUCCAUUGUGGUGUCCUGAAUUUUUAAAAACACAGAAAACUAUUUUGUUUGCUAUGUACACAUAUAGGGGCAGAUCCACAAAAGAAUUACGCAGGCGUAUCUAUUGAUACGCCGCAUAAUUUUAAAGUUCCC